CACGUAGGGGGCAAGCGUUGUCCGGAAUCAUUGGGCGUAAAGAGCUCGUAGGCGGCUCAGUAAGUCGGGUGUGAAACCCUCAGGCUCAACCUGGGGACGCCACCCGAUACUGCUGUGGCUAGAGUCCAGUAGGGGAGUGUGGAAUUCCCGGUGUAGCGGUGAAAUGCGCAGAUAUCAGGAAGAACACCCGUGGCGAAAGCGGCUCUCUGGAACGGUACUGACGCUGAGACGCGAAAGCGUGGGGAGCGAACAGG
rnacentral:rRNA from 1 species